ensembl:lncRNA
CCAGAAUAUGCAGUGUGGUUUAUAAACUUGCACAAUGGUUAGGGCACUGUACCAGAGGUAGGUGAAAGACUUUUGGUUCCCUUUUCCUCCUUGUCUGAGACAAGCUGGAAGGACAGGAGUGAUAACCAGAAGUGAAAACAGUUCAAGGCAGAAUGAGAGUGAGCAAAGAUUUCGAGUGUUCAGGGUACUGGCUGGGUUUGUCAAUCCUUCAUUGCCAUUUCUGUAGCUGUUAAGAAAAUUCAGAGGGCCACAAAAAUGAUUCAAGGGAUGGAACACCUCCCCUACCAUGACAGGCUGAGAGAGCUCCGGGGCUGUUCAGUCUGAAAAAGAGAAGGCUCAGGGGAGACCUGAGAGUGGCCAUUCGGUAUCUAAAGGGGAGCUCUAAGAAGGAAGGGGGCAGACUCUUUAGCAAGGUCUGUUGCGAUUGGACAAGGGGAAAUGGCUUCAAACUAAAAGAGAGGAAGUUUAGGUUGUAUAUAAGGAAGAAGUUUUUUAUGAUACGGGUGGGGAAGCACUGGCACAAGUUGCCCAGAGAGGUGGUGGAUGCCCAUCCCUGGAGACAGUCAAGGUUGCCAUGGAGAAAGGGGAUAAGCAAAGGGAGCGGAAAAGGAAGAAAAGGAGAAAAGGCAAUAAAGAGGACAAAAAUGGAAGCUAAGCCAAAUGGCAGAGCCCUGACAGCAAAGCCAGGAGUUCUCAGUGCCACAGAUUAUGUGAGGAACUGCUAAAGAAGCAAUUCCGCAAAGUGAGUGAGGGCCCAUGGGCCACUGCAUGACCUGCAUGGAAGGUAUGGAUUAUUUGACUUUUGCUGUCUGUCUCUUCCUGUGGUCUCUACACUACUUAUUGUCACCAGCCUAGGUAAGGAGAGCUUGAGCACCCCGGGGCCUGGCUUUUGUAGCAGGGCCACUUCAAGGUCUGCGACCAGAGGCAUCAGCGCCUGCUGGUCCAGGCAGGGCUCCUGCGUACCUGGAACUGCACAGAGAGGGGCUGACACCGAAGAGCAAACCGCUCCUACAGACCGAGCGGAGGCAAUGUGCGUUCCCACGUCCCCCCCUGGCCUCCGGAUCGCUCCGGGCCGUAAUGAGCCGCCGCUCCGCGGUGGGCAGCGUCCUGCCG